rnacentral:rRNA from 1 species
CACGUAGGGCGCAAGCGUUGUCCGGAAUUAUUGGGCGUAAAGAGCUUGUAGGCGGUUUGUCACGUCUGCUGUGAAAUCCCGAGGCUCAACCUCGGGCCUGCAGUGGGUACGGGCAGACUGGAGUGCGGUAGGGGAGAAUGGAAUUCCUGGUGUAGCGGUGGAAUGCGCAGAUAUCAGGAGGAACACCGAUGGCGAAGGCAGUUCUCUGGGCCGUAACUGACGCUGAGGAGCGAAAGCGUGGGGAGCGAACAGG